UACGUAGGGGAGCAAGCGUUGUUCGGAUUUAGCUGGGCGUAAAGGGCGCGUAGGCGGCAGAUCAAGUCAGUUGUGAAAUCUCUGAGCUUAACUCAGAACUGUCAACUGAUACUGCUCUGGCUAGAGUGCGGAAGGGGCAAUCGGAAUUCUUGGUGUAGCGGUGAAAUGCGUAGAUAGUCAAGAGGAACACCUGAGGUGAAGACGGGUUGCUGGGCCGACACGUGACGCUGAGUGCGCGAAAGCCAGGGGAGCAAACGGG
rnacentral:rRNA from 1 species